GAAACGCCAAUAGGCGUGCCCUGAAAGUUUCCACCGUGAAGAGCGAUGUCGCGAGCGACAUCGAUGAGUGGGUUGUCGUUGACGGAGUUGAUCUCGCGCUCGAUGGCGUGGGUGGCAGCACGGAUAACCUCGAUUUGAGGCCCAAGCCAUUGUGGGGAUGUUCGGAGGGCGUAGCGGUCUUGCUUUGGCUUGGUCAAAGGCUCACGCUCAUGGCGGAGGCGAGCUUCGCGCAUGUAGUCGCUGCCUUCGAGGAGGUACUCCAUAAUGGCAGCGGAUUCGAUCUGGCCGGGGUGGUGCUUG
rnacentral:misc_RNA from 1 species